ACAAUUGUAGAAUAAAGGUUGCAUGUUUGCAUUACAUCCAAUGCUGAUAACUCUGAGGGCAUGCCUAUUUUAAUCAACCCAACAAAAUUAACCAAGCUUUUAUUUACCAAAGAUUAUUUUAUAUCAU